GGGAACAGGACGGGGAACAUAAUGGAGCACAGAACGGGGCAUAGGAUGGGGAACAGGAUGGGGAAUACAAUGGGGCAUCAAAUGGGGCACAGAAUGGGGAACAGGAUGGGGCAUAGGAUGGGCACAGAAUGGGGCACAGGAUGGGGAACAGCCAGUGGAACACAUCAAAGGACCGGCUGACUUGAAAAGUGCCAGAGAUCCUCACGAGUGGGGUGGAACCACCACAGAACCACCACAGAACCAUCAGAGAACCACCACAGAACCACCACAGAACCAUCAGAGAACCACCACAGAACCACCACAGAACCAUCACAGAACCAUCACAGAACCACCGCAGAACCACCACAGAACCAUCACAGAACCAUCACAGAACCACCGCAGAACCACCACAGAACCACCGCAGAACCACCGCAGAACCACCGCAGAACCACCACAGAACCACCACAGAACCACCACAGAACCACCGCAGAAUAGCCCACUUCAGAUUGAACUCAACACAGAACCACCCAAGUGGGAUGGAAGCCAGCACAGGGAGGACCAAGUUGGAUGGAACCCAUCAGAGAACGGCCCAAGUUGGAUGGAAGCCAUCAUAGAACCAACCAAGUUGGGUGAAUCCCAUCGGAGAACGGCCCAAGGAAGAUGGAACCCAUCAGAGAACGGCCCAAGCGGGAUGGAAGCCAUCAGAGAACCAACCAAGGAAGUUGGAACCCAUCAUGGAAUGGCCCAAGUAAGAUGGAACCCAUCAGAGAACGGCCCAAGUUGGAAAGGAACCAUCAGAAAUAUCCCGAGUGGGAUGGAACCAGCACAGAACUGCCCGAGUUGGAUGGAACCCAUCAGAAAACCACUCGAGGUGGAUGGAACCCGUCAGAAAACCACUCGAGUUGGAUGGAACCCGUCAGAAAACCACUCGAGGUGGAUGGAACCCGUCAGAAAACCACUCGAGUUGGAUGGAACCCAUCAGAAAACCACUCGAGGUGGAUGGAAUCCAUCAGAAAACCACUCGAGGUGGAUGGAACCCGUCAGAAAACCGCCCGAGUUGGAUGGAA
rnacentral:lncRNA from 1 species